rnacentral:rRNA from 1 species
UACGUAGGAUGCAAGCGUUGUCCGGAAUUAUUGGGCGUAAAGAGCGAGCAGGCGGCAUAUCAAGUUGGACGUGAAAUUUUAGGGCUUAACCCUAAAGGGUCGUCCAAAACUGGUAAGCUAGAGUGCAGGAGAGGAAAGCGGAAUUCCCGGUGUAGUGGUGAAAUGCGUAGAUAUCUGGAGGAACACCGGUGGCGAAGGCGGCGUUCUGGACUGUUUCUGACACUGAAAAACGAAAGCCAGGGGAGCAAACGGG